CUCCAGGAUGACGUCCGGGUCCCUAAGGGAAGACGGGACUGAACCAUCAGAGGAAUCCUGACGUCAGACCCUGGGUAUUGUUCACAGAGGAUGGACAGUGUGCGGUCAGUUCUGGAUGUGGUCAUUGUUGCAAGUUGGACAAGAUAUCUUCAUUGUUCUCUGGCAUCACAGGAAUGUCUCCAGGAGGACUUACAAAGGUCCUCAGGAGGAGUUACAGAGGAACAUGAGAACAGGAACCUUUGCUUUAAACGCUGGUUGACUCCUGGCAUGAAUGCAGCUGGUUCUAAGUGUUGCUCUUGUUGUUAAGUGGAUCAGAUUUCCUCACCCUUGUCCAUUAGUGAGGCACCCCAAGAGGAUUACAAAGCAGACCCAGGCACCUCAUGUUUAGGACCACAGAACCCUGUGCAUGCCCACAUCCAAGGGUAUGCAAUGUCUUGGGUGCUCAGAUGAUCAUCACAAUCACAGAGCAAGAGGAGCAUAGCAGAAGCUCACAGAUAUCUUCUCUGUGCUGGGCACUACUAAGGAGCUCUCAAAUAGCUACCCACCAACUGGUCAUAGUGACUCUGUGCCAUAGGGACUGUCCUUCUUCCCAUUUUAUAGAUGGGAAGCCAGAGCUAAGAGAGGUUUGCAGAAAUGGCCCCAGACUGCACCAGUGAGGAGCAGAGCUGCCACUGGAUUCCAGGCAUUUCCACUUCAGAAGCCCCAUCUCAGCCUCUAUGCUACAGUUUUUCCACCACAUUUUCCUUUUAAAAGAUUUAACAAUGAAGAUUUAAAGAAAAUUACUACCUUGACUUGUACUUCAUGAUUCACCAUUUUGAUAUGGAACCAAAGUAAUAAGAAAACGUCCUGACCAAGGCCUGACAGGGAAGUCUGAUGUCUGCCGUACUUUGCCAAGUAAAGAAACAGAACUGUCACUGCAGUGUGUGUUAAGAAAAUGUUCCAUAUUCUCUUUCUUAGUUCGAGUUGCCUUGAUUCUCUAGAGACCCAUAACAACAAGUCUCAGCUCUGAAACUUGCAAGGCCUGUGGGUAGAAUGAUCCCCAUUUUGCUGAAACAUAGUCUUUUGGCAGAAUUUUUCUGAUAGAGAAUCUAAAAGUCUCUAGAGGCUCAGUUUCCCAGAUACUUUGUGCGGCUUUCUGUGCAUCCUCUUUCCAAAGAUCUAUCCUCAAAACGUGGACCUAGAGGUGGUAUCACAUGUGUGAUAUACAUUUUUUGUAAAACUAGGAAUUCUAUUCUUUUUUUUUUUUUGUAUUUGACACUUCUUUACUACAUCUUUUAAAUUUGGAGGUACUCCUGAGUUCCAGAUUCUCACUGUGUGCCAAGAUUGAGUGGUGCAUGGUUACCCCAGUGCCUACUACCCAGCCUGGUGCCCAAUAUACAUUAAAUGUUUGCUAAAUAAAGGGGACACUGAAUCCACUGAAUCAGGGACACUGAAUGAGUUGAACUGAAUUCCCUGAAAUGUAAUCAAAAAUUGAACCCUAAUUUUAUGCUCAGGUAGAUGUGGUA
rnacentral:lncRNA from 1 species